rnacentral:lncRNA from 1 species
CAGAAAACUUUAUUUUGAUUCUUUUCAUUUUAAAAAUGAAAUCGGUGUUUUCAGUUUGAAUCAGUUUGGCAAAAACCUGAAAAAUAUUUUAGAAAUAUUUUGAAAAAUUGCCUACUCUUGUUGAGUUUCUUCGCAGAAAACAAUAUGCAUUUUUUAGAGGCGUGGACCAACCUUUUUCUUUCUCGAUAAAGAAAGCACAGAGAACCAAGGCUUUAUUUUUAUAGUAUCAAUGGCAUCAAAGCUCCUAGGUUAAUACAGCUGGAACGCACUGCCAGGUCUAAAAACCUCAGAACAGGGCAGCAGCAGCAGCAGCUGAGACCGUCAGAGAGCCCCUGAGAUUUGGAUCGCAAAUGUGGAUUAUUGCUUCAGGAUGAGUCAGAAUACACUGCAAGGAAACAUAGAGAAGAAUGCAACCUUUAGAAGAUUAUGCCUAAGAAUAUGCCUAUGAAGGGAAAAGUGAGAGCACUGAGUAACUGAACAGCUUGAUAUGUCAGUCAUCAGACAUCACUGUCGGUCUGUAAGGAAGGAUUUUUGCUUCCUGAUGCAACUGGUACAGCACGGACCUGAUCCCUAUAACCUCGCAAGCCAGAAACAGCUACAAGACAACAGUUGGUGGUAAACAUUUGCUUUUAUAAAAAUGUCUCAUCUAU